GGUCGUAUAGUGUAGUGGUUAUCACUCGGGAUUUUGACUGAUUCAAAACUUCCCGAAACCCAGGUUCGAACCCUGGUACGACCU